rnacentral:rRNA from 1 species
UACGUAGGGGGCAAGCGUUGUCUGGAUUUAUUGGGCGUAAAGAGCGUGUAGGCGGCCAGGUAGGUCUGCUGUGAAAACUCGAGGCUCAACCUCGAGAUGUCGGCGGAAACCAUCUGGCUAGAGUCCGGAAGAGGAAAGUGGAAUUCCCGGUGUAGCGGUGAAAUGCGCAGAUAUCGGGAAGAACACCCGUGGCGAAGGCGGCUUUCUGGGACGGUACUGACGCUGAGGAGCGAAAGCGUGGGGAGCGAACAGG